AGUGAACGCUGGCGGUAGGCCUAACACAUGCAAGUCGAACGGCAGCACAGUAAGAGCUUGCUCUUACGGGUGGCGAGUGGCGGACGGGUGAGGAAUACAUCGGAAUCUACUUUUUCGUGGGGGAUAACGUAGGGAAACUUACGCUAAUACCGCAUACGACCUACGGGUGAAAGCAGGGGAUCUUCGGACCUUGCGCGAUUGAAUGAGCCGAUGUCGGAUUAGCUAGUUGGCGGGGUAAAGGCCCACCAAGGCGACGAUCCGUAGCUGGUCUGAGAGGAUGAUCAGCCACACUGGAACUGAGAAACGGCCCAAACUCCUACGGGAGGAAGAAGUGGGAAAUAUUGGACAAUGGGCGAAAGCCUGUCCCAGCCAUACGGCGUGGGUGAAGAAGCCUUUCGGGUUGUAAGCCCUUUUGUUGGGAAAGAAAAGCAGCAGGUUAAUACCCCGCUGUUCUGACGGUACCCAAAGAAUAAGCACCGGCUAACUUCGUG
rnacentral:rRNA from 1 species